GCUUCUUCACGUCCCCCCUCAAUCACAUCACCGGCACUCCCCAUUGUCCUUCAUCUGCUGCCUGCUCCUCCGCGCGGCCAUGCCCGAGCUCGCGGUCCUCGUUCUCAGCCACGCGCUCUUUCACGCGCGCCUCCGUUGCCGCUCUUGCUCCCAGACUUUGCCGUGGCCCUCUCCCGUCUCUCAUUGGCAUUUUUUUAUGUAGGGUUACUCACACUGUUACAAGGGUCAUUCAGCGCCUGUCACUGCUCUGGCUGAUAGAUUGCUUAUGGAUGGUGAAUCUAAACUGCUUGCAAGUGGAGGGUACCAAUCCACCUUCCCUACCCGUCCAGCUGCUCGAUGCCUCUGAAAUUGAUGGAGCGAUACCUAGCACGCGGUGCAUGUUGUUCUGAAGAUUCUGCUGCUGUUGGUUGCCAUUCACCCUGACAGUAUUGCCAGUGGCACCGUCAACUAUUUCUUCCCUCUCCGCCCGAGCCUGCAGAUGAAUGUUUGACGGCACUUCUCGCCUACUGUCCUCACUGGUGUUUCCAAAGUCUGCAGUGAGUUCGGUCUCAGCUCUAAUUAACGAGGAAGUCAUGCUAGGCACCCUCUGGUCUUCUCGUCUCCAACCAACCACUACCGGCGUGUGGAUGAUAGCAGGUUAUCUGUUGCGUGGCAUAAAUCGUCCCUGUUGGUGAGCUGUUCCAAAGACUCAAAGGUUAAAGUUUGGGACACAGUGGCUCCUUCGAGUGGUUCAUCACCAUGUGUAGGCAGUGCUCACCUCAACUCAAACAGGCCACCAAUUGCUAUGAAAUGCCAUGAAUCCCUUUGCUAUAUUGCUGCUGGAGCUCAAGUGACAGCGAUUGACUUGAGGACAAUGAAGAAGGCUUCUGUCCUUGCACUCCAGAACCACAGAAUACUUUCUUACGGAUACGUCAAUGGCUGUGCAGUCCAAAAAAAUGAAGAGAAGGGAAUUUGACAUUGUCGUUCAAGCUUCAACAUUGAUCACUUAUUGGUUUUCAGGAAGUCUUUCUGAAUGUCAGUUGCUAUAGGAUUAUUUGAACAACAUCUCUUCCAAUGGUGAUAUAUUUUAUGAUGCUCAGAAUGAUUUCUUGACACCUGAAUGGGACAGUGAGAAUUUACAAGUGGUACUGAUGAUUCUAUCCAUGUUCAAAUCAUCAAGAUAGUCAUCAGGUUCCUUCAGUAAUUCAAACCAUCACUAAUCCCUUCUGACGGGCUAUAUAUUCUAUCGGACCAGGCACAACUAUCCAAAUUUCUUUUCUAUAUAACAAACGCGGACGUAAAGUUGCUCAACCACGCUGUCCACGUCGCUCCUCCGUUUCCCAGCCAUUGGAUCGGCAACCAACGACACAAGAGAAUUCCGUGCGAUUGUUUCUUAACGUGAAGUUUCUGGACAGCGCCGGACAGAUAGAGAGAAUAGAAGAAUAUACACAUCUUCUUCCUCUCGCUUCCAAAGGUGAUGCCUUCCACGGAGAGGAGAUCGUGCGACCAUGAUGGCAGCGACUCUUGAUUUUGCCCAUCUUCCCACGCUCAAACGGAUAACAGUCUCCUUCCUUCUGUCUCUUCCAAUCGUCUCUUCCUAGUUCCAUAACACUCUCACAACACGCUAGCAGGACACUCAUUCUCUCAAUCGGCUCUUCCCGCUGCGCUACACGCCACCAAGAGCCUCCCCAACUCCUCCCCGUCAAACGGCGCCGCGUCGCAAGGAGCACAACCACCCCCCGUCUCCUUCCUCAGACGCUGUCGCGUUUCUCGCGCGGUGCGCCCCCUCCCUGAAAUUCUUAUAUACAGAGCAAGGAGCAAAUAUGGGAUUCCAUGAUGUCCACGUCGCUAUUUUUUGACGGCUCAACUUGAUUGUGCCGUGAAUUGUCUGUUAGCUAGGGAGUCAUCAUUUCUGUUUUGGCCUCUAAAAUAACGUUUACAGCUGGAACCGAAGUAUGCUUGACAAAUGGUUAUUGCCCACGGAAGCUUAAAUACUUGGUGCUGAACUGCUGAAGUAUGAUGUCUCACUGAAAAACAACGAGAUGGCAAUGAGAAGUGUUCAGGAAGAGGGGUAAUAUUUACUCAGAGCAGCAAAGGAAGGUCGCCCCACCAAGCUGCCAUGAUAUUCCUCCACUUACCAGUGUUUCAAAUUCCAAUGACAUCAGGUUGAAGAAAGGAACUUCACACAUGAAAAGAGACGAUCCGGACGACCAUGAAGAUUAAACGUUGCUGUUAAGAAAAGCCAUAUUUUCUGUAUUGCUUCUAAGCUGUUUUAUGGCCUUUAAACCAAUACUUUUGCUUGGCAUAUAUGUAGCUAUAACUAUUGUAAUAUAAUCUCUGAGCUUCUCAUGCUGCUAUUCAACAUAUCAUUACUCCUACCAAUAUAUGUACAGUUUCAGUUGACUUGCUUGCUUUC